UCAAAUGAUUAUGUUAAGCCACCUAUAAACAUCAAAGUGAAAUGCUGGCUAGAGGCAGCAGCGCAGCACUACUGUUUGGAACUUUGAUUAUGUGGUGCUGCUGGAGGUGAUCAGAGCUGCAGACCACCCCAACUGGAUGCUUUCACUCCCUGCAACACAAUCGAGUAAAGAGGAGUAGUACUCAUCAAUACACACAUACAAAACAUAUUUUUUUCUAGAUAAAAGAACAGUGAUCAAAUUGAUUGCAUAGUUCUUUCUUCUGCUAUGACCUUAAAGGAUGGACAAAACAAAACGAAUCGCCACACGGCCAGUUCCUUCACUCAACAGCCUUGCCGCCAAAGACACUUGCGGCCGCCUAAUCUGCUUCAAACUACCAACACUACACCUCCGCCGCCACAUGGACUAUCGUUAGAUUGAUUUAGUAAUUAGCCUAAAACAAUAUAUGUUGGAUUUUUGCAUUGUAAAAGCCUGAACAGUAGAAUAUUAAAGAUUGGAAAAGAAAAGGAUUGGGGCCUCGGGGAGAUACUGUAUUAAUUAGACUCCGACCUGAUUCCUAACCAUAUACCUGGUGUUUUCUGUGAAAAUUACCUCAAACACACUGGUUGCUGCUCCAAGACGUAGAUGGGCUUCAGAAUAGC
rnacentral:lncRNA from 1 species